rnacentral:lncRNA from 1 species
AUGGGCCCGUAGCAACGGGUGUGGGUGAACUUCCCCCAAAGUCAUGCUGAAGUCUUAAUAUAACGUGUGCUUAUACGUGUGUGCCGUUCUAGUGACUGAUGUCUUGCUGUACCUAGAUGGUUUUGGAUCCUGCUCCACCAGGACUUGCCCAAGACAUUCAAGAGGCAGCUUGUGCGUGUGCUUGAGACUGGCCCAAACUUGGAGCGUCGGACUCCUAGGAUCUUAAGUAUGAAUUGCACCUGGGACAUGUUGGAGCGGAGGAGGAGGACGCAGCCCACCUGUAUCUAAAACCCGAGUGCUCUGAACCUGAAGUGGAAAUGACUUCAGCUCUGAAACAAAGCAUAACCUCACUUGGGGGAGACAGAGUUCAGAAGUUACAGAUAACCACAGGAACAUAGGAAACUUAGAGUUAUAGCAUUGAGUUGUCAUUCACCUUGCUGUUUGCUGCUUUUAUAGUGAAUUGCCUCGGCUGUGGGUUAGAUGGAGCUUAAUGUACAUUUCUUGGAUUAACUCAAAAAUUUAGUGCCUUUUGAGUUGUAUAUUCUAAAAUGCUCUCAACGAGCUAUUGUUGGUUUGUAUUUAAAGUUCCAGUUUGACAAAAAUCUACUUAACCUAUCAGAUUUUAUGUCUCUCUGCUUGGGAUAAUCUUGCACUGCGCUUUUGUCGGGAUGCUUUACAGUUUGCUUUGUUUGCUCUCUGAUCCUUUCUCCACGACUUAUUUUUAGCAGUGCUUAGCAAAUGAUUAAAAAUUACUGCACAGUGCGUGACUUCAGAGAUUCUUUCAGUUUCUUCUAGAAAGUGUGGGUUAUCUUAAAUGUUCAGCCUGAAGGAGAUUAGCCGUUCAGUAUUUUAGCAGCUGGUGACGUUAAGCUGAAAAGCUUGAGCAGGAGAAUGAAAGUGGAAUGUGAUACGUCAGAGUCCUAAAAGCCUAGCUUGGGUCUCGAUUGCUGGUAAUUAUAAUUACAGCUUGCAAUUCAAAGUCUUAAAGCAAAGUUUACCUGAGAAAAGGAUGGGAAAAUAAAAAUCCCGUUUUUGUUGGAUUCUCC